rnacentral:tRNA from 1 species
UCUAAUAUGGCAGAAUAGUGCGUCGGAUUUAAGCCCCGAAAAUAAAGGUUUUCUUUUUUUAGAA